GAUUUCACAAGCAGACUCCUUCGAACAGAUGUGUAGAAACAGAUGCUGGGAUAGAUUUUGAGGCAGCCCUGAGCUUGAUCAGAGGAGCAGGAAGAGCCUAAGAAUAACCAUCUAGGAGUCGUUGGAGGCAACUUCUUUAUCUGCUUAUCUGUUUUUCUGAUUUUUUUUUAACUAUUCUCCUCCCAUGCCCAUUUUCUGGAUUGGAACCUGGUGGACCACACAGUAAAGAGUUUGAUUGAGAAAGCACUGCUUUUUGCCCUAGGUCAUCCAAAUAUUCUGACUCAGGCUUCUGAUCUGUUUCUGCUUCCCUUUCUUUUGGGCAUUAGAAAGUGUGCACUUAGACAAUGAAGGCUUCUUCCUAGGAUAGCUAAUAUCUAUAGAAGUUUUUCUGAAACAGAAGUGAUGUAGGUCUUGAAAGAGAGCCUCUGACUGUCCUUUGACAUCUUCCUGGAAGGGUUAGAAGGGGAAGCAGCACUCAUAUCCAUCUUGUGGUUGCAAUCGCAGCCAUGGGGAGAUUGAAGAACCAUCUCAGAGAAGUGUCAUAAGCUAGCAGCAUAGCCAGGGGAGGAAUCCCAAUGCUCACAUGGUCCCCAUUCUCUUUGAUAGAGAUUGUGGAUUUGCUGGGUUUAUUUGCUUGUUUAUGAUUAUAUGGCAAGGGAAGUUAAGAAAGAAGGAAAAGGAAGUGAUGAUGAUGGAGUGCAGACAUUGUCAGGUACUUCACAUAGAUCAUGAUGCAGGCAGUAUCCUGGAGGUGGGGAGGAAAGUGGUCUCAGAGAAGAUAAAUGACUUGCCUACAGCAGGGCCUGAUUGAGACCUUUACAGGGCACCCAUAUGCAAUUCAGAAUACUUUAAAUUUUCCAUGUAGCACAAAACUUAUAUGUUGAAAUUAAAGUAGCUUCUCUUUAGAAUUUGUUUUAAUUAUAAAAUUUUAGAGAUGCUGUUCAAAAUUGCCUGUUAUUUGGUGUCCUAAACAUAUGUAAUCUGUCUUUUGGGUAAACCAAACCAGCCCCCAAUUAAGAAAUCUACUUAAUGAAGGAUUCACCACUUGGAGCUGUCUAACUUAAAAAUCUAGGGGAAGAAUUGUAUAAGGUGGUGAGAGUCUCUGUUGCACUACCAAUUCAGCAGAGGAGAAUUCCUGGCCAACUAUCAAGGUCAUAAGUAAUAGGGGGAGGUUUCAGCUACACAUCUGACUUGGUGAUGGUGGUGGUGGUGGGGGCUAUAACUAUAAGCUUUGCCCUUUGGUUGGAAUAAGGGAGGGAUGGAAAAUCCAGGUUCAGCCUCUGAGGUUGAGUUCCUGUAACGGCAUAUAAGAGCAUUUUCUUUGUGACAAAAAAGAAGCCAGAAUGAAGACCAUAUGAUUAAUUUCAUGAAAUUAUAAAAGAGGAAAAACUACUUUCAGUAAAACAAUCUGUCUUGUAUUGUCUUGAAGGUGAAGAUUAUUGGGAUGGAAAAGAAGAAAGUUUCUGGAGUGGUAGACAUGUUAGAGAUAUAUCUAUUUUUCAGUACUGUGCAGCUAAGAAUUUUCUAAAUUGGAAACAAUCCCAAUUUCCCUCAACUGGUAAGUGAGUAAACAAAUUGUGGUGUAUGAUUGAAUACCACUCAGCAAUAAAAAGGAAUUAACUACUGA